GCAGGGACACAGAGCAGUAAUGUUAUAAGCAGGAAUGCUGUGUAAGGUUUGAACCAGAAAUAUGGGUUUCUGCUCAUAAUAAAACUGCAUUCCUUCUGUGCAUGAGUCAAAACUGCAAACAUCAUAUACCUGCUGUUAAACUUGAAGCAAACUUACCUCCUGCUUUGUGUCAUUACAUUCAUAAAAGAGGAAAGAAAGCAGAUUGGCUGAUUAUCAGCUGAGAGGAGGAAGAAGGAAGAGGUCUGAUGGGUCAAUGCUGGCGGAGCAUAUUUCUGUGGAAACGGCUGAAAUCAUUAACUGAACUAGAUGGACAAAUUGUUCAAGGAAGAAUUAAUCCAGUAUCGCAAAGUGUGUGUGGAAUUCCAGUAUGGGGGAUGUGUUGAAGUCACUCUGCAUGUGGAACUAAGGUUGGUGGAGGCCAGAGUGUGGCUUACGUCCUGGAAGGCUGCUUGUGAGUGGUCCAUGUUGGAGCUACAGCAUCAAGGCAUUGUGAGGCAACCCAGCUGCAGGGCAUGGAUGACACAGCCCCUCAUUGGUCUAGAUUGAAUCCCAAGAGUCAUAGGUAGGUGUAUCUGCAUUUUCCAGAUGGAGGCAACGAAGGUACAGAGAAGUUGAAUAGUCAGUUUUUCAGAAGAGCUAAACACCCACAACUUCCACUGAAGUGCACAGGAGCUGCAAAUUCUAAGCAUUUCUAAAAACUGCCCAUAAAUGACGUGCAAGAUACAGUCAAAGUGAGUCAAAGCACAGAUAAAAAACAUUUUCUCUUGCCUCUCCAUUCCACAAAACCACACUGUCUACAUACUUCUAAAUCCUAUUUUUGACAAUCACCUCAAAGAAGGAAGUUCAGCCAGCUGAUAUCAACAAUUUUCUGUGAAGAGCUGGUAAACAGGAAAGCCAUAACAGACUAACACUCAGCUCUUUGUCCCUGCUCCUUGCCAUUUGUGAUGCUCCACCAUCUCAAACUAAUGGAAAAAGCAGGAGUGACAACAGUUAUAAGUUUUUAAAAUACAUCAAUAACAUAAAAACUCAACUGAAUGGUAAAAGAUAUAUAUGCUUCAAAGCAUAUGCCAGAUUAUAAUUAACAGUGGGCAGGGAGAAACUUUCUCUCACUAUGUGCAGGUUAUUUAAUAACUGCCUAUUUCAGCAUGCUUACACAUAAUUUUGUGUCUCCCUCCAGCAUGUUAUUGCCUUUGUAACACAACCUCCCCUCCACCCCAACUUUGUCCCUGUGUAGUUCAAGUGGAUCAAUGCCAGGUCUUUUAGGUACCCCGUAUCAGCCUGCAUUGAAUCAUUCAGCACUGGCAUAAACU